GUGGAUUAGAUACCCCGGUAGUCCACGCCGUAAACGAUGUUCACUAGGUGUUGGGGGUAUUGACCCUCUCAGUGCCGGAGCUAACGCAUUAAGUGAACCGCCUGGGGAGUACGGUCGCAAGACUAAAACUCAAAGGAAUUGACGGGGGCCCGCACAAGCGGUGGAGCAUGUGGUUUAAUUCGAUGCAACGCGAAGAACCUUACCUGGACUUGACAUCCCGGGAAUCUCCUGGAAACAGGAGAGUGCCUUUCGGGGAACCCGGAGACAGGUGCUGCACGGCUGUCGACAACU
rnacentral:rRNA from 1 species